GGAUGGCUAUGACAUCUGUCACCUCACUGGUCCCCAGGGUUGAUGCGACUGAUCUAGCUGUUUAGGUAGUAUCCCCUUCCUCUAUCGCCACUCUUCCGUUAAAGAGAAAAACCAUCCCUGAGAGAGAAUCGUUCUUUGGCCAAGAGUAUGCUAUGCUCCCAUUCUAGAAUGCCCAAACAAGCUCUCAAGCCUUGGCCCUCUGGCCACAUUCCCAAGCAGGCUCUCCCGGCCCCUCUGAGACAUGCCUAGCCUCUGAAG
rfam:Dipodomys ordii contig_40448, whole genome shotgun sequence.